rnacentral:rRNA from 1 species
UACAGGGGGGGGCAAGCGUUGUUCGGAAUUACUGGGCGUAAAGGGCUUGUAGGUGGCCAACUAAGUCAGACGUGAAAUCCCUCAGCUUAACUGGGGAACUGCGUCUGAUACUGGAUGGCUAGAGUUUGGGAGAGGGAUGCGGAAUUCCAGGUGUAGCGGUGAAAUGCGUAGAUAUCUGGAGGAACACCGGUGGCGAAGGCGGCAUCCUGGACCAACACUGACACUGAGGAGCGAAAGCCAGGGGAGCAAACGGG